CUUUCCUUGAUGACGACUGGCGCACGGGUGAGUAACGCGUAUCCAACCUUCCCAUAACUACGGGAUAACCCGUUGAAAGACGGCCUAAUACCGUAUGAUAUCGUUUGCUGACAUCAAAUAACGAUUAAAGGUUUAGCGGUUACGGAUGGGGAUGCGUCUGAUUAGCUUGUUGGCGGGGUAACGGCCCACCAAGGCUACGAUCAGUAGGGGUUCUGAGAGGAAGGUCCCCCACAUUGGAACUGAGACACGGUCCAAACUCCUACGGGAGGCAGCAGCC
rnacentral:rRNA from 1 species